UCUUACGUUGCUAUACUGCAGUCGAGCGAAUCAAUGGGAGCUUGCUCCCUGAGAUUAGCGGCGGACGGGUGAGUAACACGUGGGUAACCUGCCUGUAAGAUUGGGAUAACUCCGGGAAACCGGAGCUAAUACCGGAUAACAUUUUGAACCGCAUGGUUCAAAGUUGAAAGAUGGUUUCGGCUAUCACUUACAGAUGGACCCGCGGCGGAUUAGCUAGGUGGGGAGGUAACGGCUCACCAAGGCAACGAUGCGUAGCCGAACUGAGAGGGGGAUCGGGCCUUAUGGGACUGAGACACGGCCCAGACUCCUACGGGAGGCAGCAGUAGGGAAUCUUCCGCAAUGGACGAAAGUCUGACGGAGCAACGCCGCGUGAACGAUGAAGGCCUUCGGGUCGUAAAGUUCUGUUGGUAGGGAAGAACAAGUACCAGAGUUACUGCUGGUACCUUGACGGUACCUAACCAGAAAGCCACGGCUAACUACGUGCCAGCAGCCGCGGUAAUACGUAGGUGGCAAGCGUUGUCCGGAAUUAUUGGGCGUAAAGCGGACGCAGGCGGUUUCUUAAGUCUGAUGUGAAAGCCCACGGCUCAACCGUGGAGGGUCAUUGGAAACUGGGGAACCUGAGUACAGAAGAGGAGAGUGGAAUUCCACGUGUAGCGGUGAAAUGCGUAGA
rnacentral:rRNA from 1 species